CAAGGUCCUGCCAUGACCAUCCCAGUCCCCUGACUUGAAUCCCAUAGAAAACCUGUGGGGUGAACUGAAGAGAGUACGCCAGCGUGGACCUCGAAAUUUGAAGUAUCUGGAGAGAUUCUGUAUGGAGGAAUGGUCUCAGAUCCCUUGCCAUGUAUUCUCCAACUUCAUCAGGCGUUAUAGGAGAAGACAUGGCAAAGUGAGGUAGCACAAAGUAUUGACUAAAAGGAUGGCAACAAUUUAUUACCUACUUCAAUGAUGUACGCACCCUGGAGGUGGAUUGAGGAGAGGUAGACGGAGCGCGGAUAAAGCAAUAAAGACAAAUUUUCACAGCCUUCUUUGCUCAUAUUUACCAAGGGUGCCAAUAUUAGUGGAAGGCACUGUAAUAAUUAACCAAAGCGGGGCACCAAAUAUGAGUGAAUCUGUUGCCUGCACAUUAUUUAAUAUGUGACAGCAAUCUCUGGGAUAUAAUCAUUGAAUUAGAGACGGUUUCCCAGGACCUACUCACCAGCAAAUCUUCACAUACAGACUUCACCAGCUCAACCAAAAGUGACCAACUUGUAUUGGCCGAGGACUUUUGAACCCGUAACAAAGCCCCGAGAGACACUUGGCCGAAGUAUCUAGUAUUCAGUGCAGGCACAGAAAGUUUCAUAUUGGACACACAGCAAGACUCAAACUGAAAGCAAUUUCUGACAACUGCUUUAAGAAUGCAGGUAAGCAUGUGAGUUAACUGAAUCUGGACACGCAGCACACAUGAAAAAAAUCUACACGUUCUAUGUCUCUGUGAGUCUGGAGAAAUUGUUACAGCUUAACUAUACUGAUGUUAAACCAUAAUUAAAGUAACUGCAGUUUCAUGACAAAUUAUUUGGGUCUGAAUGAUUACAGUACUGUCUAAGAUAUUAAAAGUGGUGUCUGAGGAGGACACACAAUGCUGCUUUUCCAUUGAAAUUGAGCAAUGACUUGCAUAUUACAGGAUUAAUAACAUUUUUCAAUUAAAUCACUACCCAUUGUGACAGAAAUAAAUGCUGUGAGCAUUCAUGGCCUAUUUUGAAUCUCAACUACACCAUGCGUUCUUUACGGUAAGUACCACAACUCCCUAUAUGCAGAGUACACAGUUUGCGCAGGGCACCAACUCCCGGGAGCUGGGGGGGUUGACCAUGUCUUUCAUUCUAUAUUAAGGUUAACAUAAACGUAAUUCACACAAAUAUAAAUAUAAUAUACAUAAACAUAAAUAUUUAUAUUUUUUAAUGCCUUUUUCGGCAUCCGCCCCGCCCCCACCUCAUGUUUGCGCUUGUCUGACUGCAAAAGAUCAUCAUCAUAAUUGAUGGACAACUAUGCCCGUGAAAAGACAUCGGCUGUCUGGUGCUGAGAAAAGAAAAAGAACAAAAAGCCGAAGAUGAAUCCCGUGCCUCACUUCCAGGUAUGUUCACAAAACUGUGAAACGUUAUAUUUGUGUCUUUUGAAGUUAAUGGGUGAGAUUAAGAGAUUAAUUAAACAUGUUUAACGCUGUUAAUCAUUUCACCAGAACCAAGGCAUCUGAUUAUUCGCUCUGAGUUUGCACAUUUUGAUGUCCACAUGUUCUUGUUCAAGAAAUUACAGUGGCUGUAGUAUUUCUAUCACAAAGAAGUGGCCAAAUAUUAAAGAUUAUGUGGACAUUUGAAUGAAAUGUUUGGCCAAUAUUAAACAAGGAUUUGAGCUGUAAAGCGUAACAAAAACAAUCACCGGGACGUUGUCGCCCUCUGCAGCCAAGAUCAAGUUGAGAGAGAGAGAGGACUUCUGGCCAGCAGUGCAUACCAGAAACAAACAGCCCAAGGCCAUUGGUGCAAUCCCCCACUCCGGCUUCCCUCACUCCCUUUUCCAAGGCGGAAAAAGGAUAAGGGAGAGGCAACGAGGGAAACCAUGCCCUGAAGAGGAGGACUGGGAACCAGGACCAGAGCGCUUCCAGGCCUAAUGAGAAAGGUUUAUAUGUUGCAAAAAAAAAAAAUGAGGAGAUCUAAGAUUUCUGCCUACAGUUAUGCCAUGUUUCAUGCCAUUCCGCUCAGCACUAUCUGUGCAUGAAUUCAGUGUUAAUCAGAAAGGUAGCAGCAGCUAUGCUCUGAUGUGUAUGCUCUGAUACUUUUCUGAAUUAGAGAAUGCCGGGCGACUGCAGCACUGAAACCUAAAGCAGUCACAAAAAAGCAUCUGGAGCAAAUUGUUUCAUCAACUUCAUUCAGCCGCUUCAUUCAGUGGCUGGAAGUGCAUUUUAUUUCCCAUUUUACUGCAGAUUAGAUAAAAUGACCUAAAUCACAAUGAUGCACUUUAUAAUACUAGCUCAACGACAGUUAUUACAGAAUACACAGUGCGCACAGUAUGGCCUCUGAAGUUGAUGUACAAUUGACAAAACUAUGAUUACGUCUAAAAUGUGUUUCUUGUACUGGACAAUAAGUCACAGAAAGAGCAACAGCCACAAUCUUUAAAAGUUUCAUUUUUAAAAAUGUAUAUGCGAGCAAUGAAAUAAAAGAAGACAUGCCUCCUGGAACAUUUCCAUUGUGUUAUUUCCUUAAUUAACUUUGUUAUAAGUACACCGGAAAAGAAACCAACCCCCUCCUAAUUUUAGUUUUCUGGUCGGGUAAAACAUCAGCUGUUGUUGAACUGAAGGAUAUUCAUCAUUACAUUACAGUAAGGUGUGCUACACUACCCAUAAAACCAGAGGAACCUAAAGCAGUGGACCUUCGGGCUACUUCAGAUCAGACACCCCUAUGACUGCAAUAACUUAACAUCCAAGGCAAAAGUUUUUUUUGUUUGUUUGUUUUGUUUUUUAAAUGUUCACACAUUUACACAGCAACAUGGCCAGCUGAAAUCCAGGAAUAAUGCAUGAAUAAUGCAGCAAACACAGCAUUUUUAAGACUUUACAUAUUUGCUCUAUGGUUUGCUCGCCUGUCUACAUUUCACUGCGGGGUUGUCUAUUAAAUCCUGUAAUCAAAUGCACUAAAUUUAAAACUAAUAACAGCCCACGUGAUGUAUGCAUUAUGUAUAAUGCAGUCAGCAAUCAUUUGGUCUUAUUUACUACCAUGUACCCUAAUGUAUGAAUAAUUAAGCUUUUCAAGAGCAUGCAUAAAAAUGAUGCAGCGGUUAUGUAGAGUAAAGCACAUCUGGAGAAAUGCACCAGAUGAUUAGAGGUUGAAGUGCCAAAUCUUGUCUUCCUGGUACACACAUUAUUUUCGUUUGACUUUAUAUUUUAUCAAAUGGCUCAGAUGGCAACAUCCAGGCAAUAUAUUAGACUCUUAAGAUAAGAGCUCUAUUUGAAUCAAUCCAUUUGCAGAUACUAACUGAUAUUUGUGCAAAGAUGAAAAUAAUAAUAUAUAUAUAUAUUUUUAAAAACCCUAAUAGUGCAUGG